UGCCAGACUCCUACGGGAGGCAGCAGUGGGGAAUAUUGCACAAUGGGGGAAACCCUGAUGCAGCAACGCCGCGUGAGUGAAGAAGUAUUUCGGUAUGUAAAGCUCUAUCAGCAGGGAAGAAAAUGACGGUACCUGAGUAAGAAGCCCCGGCUAACUACGUGCCAGCAGCCGCGGUAAUACGUAGGGGGCAAGCGUUAUCCGGAUUUACUGGGUGUAAAGGGAGCGUAGACGGCGAUGCAAGUCUGAAGUGAAAGCCCGGGGCUCAACCCCGGGACUGCUUUGGAAACUGUAUGGCUGGAGUGCUGGAGAGGCAAGCGGAAUUCCUAGUGUAGCGGUGAAAUGCGUAGAUAUUAGGAAGAACACCAGUGGCGAAGGCGGCUUGCUGGACAGUAACUGACGUUGAGGCUCGAAAGCGUGGGGAGCAAACAGGAUUAGAUACCCGGGUAA
rnacentral:rRNA from 1 species